rnacentral:snoRNA from 1 species
GUGAUGACCCUUUCCCUCCCGAAGGCGUGAAGAGGCGUCGCGUUGCUGA